rnacentral:rRNA from 1 species
AUUGAACGCUGGCGGCAUGCUUUACACAUGCAAGUCGAACGGUAACAGGCCGCAAGGUGCUGACGAGUGGCGAACGGGUGAGUAAUGCAUCGGAACGUGCCCAGUCGUGGGGGAUAACGCAGCGAAAGCUGCGCUAAUACCGCAUACGAUCUAUGGAUGAAAGCGGGGGACCGUAAGGCCUCGCGCGAUUGGAGCGGCCGAUGUCAGAUUAGGUAGUUGGUGGGGUAAAGGCUCACCAAGCCAACGAUCUGUAGCUGGUCUGAGAGGACGACCAGCCACACUGGGACUGGGACAUGGCCCAGACUCCUACGGGAGGCAGCAGUGGGGAAGUUUGGACAAUGGGCGCAAGCCUGAUCCAGCAAUGCCGCGUGCAGGAAGAAGGCCUUCGGGUUGUAAACUGCUUUUGUACGGAACGAAACGGUCUGGGUUAAUACCUCGGGCUAAUGACGGUACCGUAAGAAUAAGCACCGGCUAACUACGUGCCAGCCGCCGCAGUAACAC